UACGUAGGAGGCAAGCGUUAUUCGGAUUUACUGGGCGUAAAGAGGGCGCAGGUGGCUUUUCAAGUCGGGUGUAAAAUCUCCCUGCUCAACGGGGAGGGAUCAUCCGAUACUGCUAGGCUAGAGGGCAGCAGAGGGAGGUAGAAUUUCCGGUGUAGUGGUGAAAUACGUAGAUAUCGGGAAGAAUACCAGUGGCGAAGGCGGCCUCCUAGGCUGUUUCUGACACUGAGGCCCGAAAGCGUGGGGAGCGAACAGGAUUAGAUACCCCCGUA
rnacentral:rRNA from 1 species